GAUGAACGCUGGCGGCGUGCCUAAUACAUGCAAGUCGAGCGGACGGACGAGAAGCUUGCUUCUCUGAUGUUAGCGGCGGACGGGUGAGUAACACGUGGAUAACCUACCUAUAAGACUGGGAUAACUUCGGGAAACCGUAGCUAAUACCGGAUAAUAUUUUGAACUGCAUGGUUCAAAAGUGAAAGACGGUCUUGCUGUCACUUAUAGAUGGAUCCGCGCUGCAUUAGCUAGUUGGUAAGGUAACGGCUUACCAAGGCAACGAUGCAUAGCCGACCUGAGAGGGUGAUCGGCCACACUGGAACUGAGACACGGUCCAGACUCCUACGGGAGGCAGCAGUAGGGAAUCUUCCGCAAUGGGCGAAAGCCUGACGGAGCAACGCCGCGUGAGUGAUGAAGGUCUUCGGAUCGUAAAACUCUGUUAUUAGGGAAGAACAUAUGUGUAAGUAACUGUGCACAUCUUGACGGUACCUAAUCAGAAAGCCACGGCUAACUACGUG
rnacentral:rRNA from 1 species